AUCAUUUUUGCCUUGAGGGCAAAGAAAAACGUGGCCGCCUCCAUUCUCUGCUAGGGUUCAACCUAGUCUCAGUGGUCCGUAACCCCCCUUUCGCCAUGGAGCCACCGCGAAUGGUGCUCGAAGCCAACGGGUGUCCAGGUACGAAGGCUGUUGUGUUGACGUGUCGAUGCACGUGGGAUGGGUGGCACGCGUGGCUGCUGUGUGAGGGAGGCGUGCGGCGGCUGAAGCUGUUUCAGAAACCCUAGGGGUUUCUGGAAAAUUCAAUAUGGGCUAUUGAAUUUUUUUGGGCCUAUUGUAAUUAGGUUAGAUUAGGCUAGAAUUGGGCUAGGGUAAUUUAGGCCUGUAAUAUUGGACUUUGAUAAUGGACUUUUAUUUUUUAUCUUUUGUUUAUUAGUUUUUUUUAUUUUUUUACUUUUGGGCCUGGACAUAUUUGGGCUUGUACAAUAUAAAUAUUGUAUUAAUCUUUUUUUAAAUAGUUGUUACAAAAACACUUUCAUGGAA